rnacentral:rRNA from 1 species
GAUGAACGCUGGCGGCGUGCUUAACACAUGCAAGUCGAACGAAGCACUUUAUUUGAUUUCCUUCGGGACUGAUUAUUUUGUGACUGAGUGGCGGACGGGUGAGUAACGCGUGGGUAACCUGCCUUGUACAGGGGGAUAACAGUUGGAAACGGCUGCUAAUACCGCAUAAGCGCACAGCAUCGCAUGAUGCAGUGUGAAAAACUCCGGUGGUAUAAGAUGGACCCGCGUUGGAUUAGCUAGUUGGUGAGGUAACGGCCCACCAAGGCGACGAUCCAUAGCCGACCUGAGAGGGUGACCGGCCACAUUGGGACUGAGACACGGCCCAAACUCCUACGGGAGGCAGCAGUGGGGAAUAUUGCACAAUGGGCGAAAGCCUGAUGCAGCGACGCCGCGUGAGCGAAGAAGUAUUUCGGUAUGUAAAGCUCUAUCAGCAGGGAAGAUAAUGACGUUACCUGACUAAGAAGCACCGGCUAAAUACGUG